GACGAACGCUGGCGGCGCGCCUAACACAUGCAAGUCGAACGGAGUCAAGAGGAGCUUGCUUUUCUUGACUUAGUGGCGAACGGGUGAGUAACGCGUGAGUAACCUGCCCUGGAGUGGGGGACAACAGUUGGAAACGACUGCUAAUACCGCAUAAGCCCACGGAUCCGCAUGGAUCUGCGGGAAAAGGAUUUAUUCGCUUCAGGAUGGACUCGCGUCCAAUUAGCUAGUUGGUGAGGUAACGGCCCACCAAGGCGACGAUUGGUAGCCGGACUGAGGGGUUGAACGGCCACAUUGGGACUGAGACACGGCCCAGACUCCUACGGGAGGCAGCAGUGGGGGAUAUUGCACAAUGGGGGAAACCCUGAUGCAGCGACGCCGCGUGGAGGAAGAAGGUUUUCGGAUUGUAAACUCCUGUCGUUAGGGACGAUAAUGACGGUACCUAACAAGAAAGCACCGGCUAACUACGUG
rnacentral:rRNA from 1 species